GUGAGUAUAAGCAAGGAACGUACCCUAAAGUAUCGCAUAGCUCGUCGAAAGACGGGGUAAUUCGGUAUGUGACCGUAAGGUUAAAGGAGCAAUCCGCUUUAGGAGCGGCCUUGUGCCUAUCAGCUUGUUGGUGAGGUAAAGGCUUACCAAGGCUACGACGGGUAGGGGGUGUGAGAGCAUGACCCCCCACGAUAGCACUGAGACACGGGCUAUACACCUACGGGUGGCAGCAACUGGGAAUCGUUGACAAUGGGCGAAAGCCUGAUCACGCGACGCCGCGUGUGGGAUGAAGGCCCUCGGGUCGUAAACCACUUUUGCCAAGUCUCCGAAGCUUGGCGAAUAAGCAUCUACUAACUACGUGCCAGCAGUCGCGGUAAUACGUAGGAUGCAAGCGUUAUCCGGAUUCACUGGGCGUAAAGUGUCGUGUAGGCGGUUUUCCGCAUCGUGUUUGAAAGUCUGGGGCUCAACCCCAGGUGUGAAUACGAGAUGGGGAGACUAUGAGGGUAGGAGAGGGAAGGGGAACUUAUGGUGAAGCAGUGAAAUGCGUUGAUAUCAUAAGGAACACCGAAGGCGAAGGCACCUUCCUGGCAUACUCCUGACGCUGAGACACGAAAGCUAGGGGAGCGAAGCAGAUUAGAGACCUGCGUAGUCCUAGCCCUAAACGCAUGCCUGCUAGAUGCCCCGAGUAAUCGGGGUGUCGUAAGCUAACGCGUUAAGCAGGCCGCCUGGGGAGUACGAUCGCAAGAUUAAAACUCAAAGGAAUUGACGGGGACCCGCACAACCAGUGGAGCGUGUGGUUCAAUUCGAGACAAAGCGAAGCACCUAACCAGGGCUUGACAUGUUAUCGUUUUAACCCGCUAGAAACAGCAGGCUAUCCGCAAGGAUGAUAGCACAGCUGCUGCAUGGCUGUCGUCAGCUCGUGCCGUGAGGUGUUCUCUUAAGUGAGACAACGAGCGCAACCCCUAUCUGAUGUUACAAGUGUCAUCAGAGACGGUCUUGGUUUUUUCCAGGAAGGAAGGAGGGGACGACGUCAAGUCAGCACGGCGCUUAUGCCCUGGGUCACACACACCCUACAAUGGCGAAGAACAAUGAGCAGCAAGGCAGCAAUGCCAAGCAAAUCUCUGAAAUUUCGCCUCAGUUCAGAUUGGGGGCUGCAACCCGCCCCCAUGAAGUCGGAAUUGGUAGUAAUCGUAGAUCAGCAGGCUGCGGUGAAU
rnacentral:rRNA from 1 species